rnacentral:rRNA from 1 species
CCUACGGGAGGCAGCAGUGGGGAAUAUUGCACAAUGGGGGAAACCCUGAUGCAGCGACGCCGCGUGAGCGAAGAAGUAUUUCGGUAUGUAAAGCUCUAUCAGCAGGGAAGAUAAUGACGGUAUCUGACCAAGAAGCCCCGGCUAACUACGUGCCAGCAGCCGCGGUAAUACGUAGGGGGCAAGCGUUAUCCGGAUUUACUGGGUGUAAAGGGAGCGUAGACGGCAGCACAAGUCUGGAGUGAAAUCCCGGGGCUUAACCCCGGAACUGCUUUGGAAACUGUGCGGCUGGAGUGCAGGAGGGGUAAGCGGAAUUCGUGGUGUAGCGGUGAAAUGCGUAGAUAUUAGGAAGAACACCGGUGGCGAAGGCGGCUUACUGGACUGUAACUGACGUUGAGGCUCGAAAGCGUGGGGAGCAAACAGGAUUAGAUACCCUUGUAGUC